rnacentral:rRNA from 1 species
UACAGAGGUCCCGAGCGUUGUUCGGAUUUACUGGGCGUAAAGGGCGCGUAGGCGGCGUGUUAAGUCACUUGUGAAAUCUCUGAGCUUAACUCAGAACGGUCAAGUGAUACUGAUGUGCUAGAGUGCAGAAGGGGCAACCGGAAUUCUUGGUGUAGCGGUGAAAUGCGUAGAUAUCAAGAGGAACACCUGAGGUGAAGACGGGUUGCUGGGCUGACACUGACGCUGAGGCGCGAAAGCUAGGGUAGCAAACGGG